rnacentral:rRNA from 1 species
UACGGGGGGGGCAAGCGUUGUUCGGAAUUACUGGGCGUAAAGGGCUCGUAGGCGGCCAACUAAGUCAGACGUGAAAUCCCUCGGCUUAACCGGGGAACUGCGUCUGAUACUGGAUGGCUUGAGUUUGGGAGAGGGAUGCGGAAUUCCAGGUGUAGCGGUGAAAUGCGUAGAUAUCUGGAGGAACACCGGUGGCGAAGGCGGCACCCUGGACCAAUACUGACGCUGAGGAGCGAAAGCCAGGGGAGCAAACGGG